CUGCAGGACAACAAUAGAGAAAUAUUUUAAGGAUUUAUAAUAUCUAGAACAUAGAAAUAACUAGUCUAAUGACUAGAUCUUUAGAUUUCAAGUAAAUUCGAGCAAUAUUUAUUAAUAUUUUCCUUUAUUAUUGUUUCACUAUCAAAUGCUAUAUCUAUCAUUUUCAAGAAAAUUAGAUUUGCCAUGAUCCCUUUGAAAUUAAGAGAACAUAUACAUUUAGUGUGAAAAAGUAAUCAAUAAUAUUUUCAAAGAGAACCAAAAAAGAGGAUUUCAAGUCUUAUCAAUCAAUUAUCUAUUAGAAAAGACAUGAUUUGGUGUAUAACAUUUUGAAACAAAAUUCAUACACUUGACAAAACUCACAUAUUUUCCAUCUCUCAUUUAUAGCAGGGAUUUCAACUUGGAGAAACAUAUCACCCCUCAUUGCAAGAAUGAGACAAUACCUAUGAUUGGUCCAUCUUUGCUGAUGUUGAUAAGGCUACAUGGGUGCAUUUAGGAACACAGCUGAAGAGUAUACAGCAUAUAACAGGAAAACAAAUCUAACAAAUACAGUCAUACUUUACACACCAAUAUCACUUUAAAAAAUAAAAUACAUGUUCAAAUUUUGUUUUCAAUGUGAUAAUUUGUAUAAAUAGAGGAAAUGAAGACCCUACAGUAUUAAUCUCCAUUGCAACUAAAGCACCAAUUAUAUCAUUCUUAAUAGGUAAACUUUUUAUAAUGAAAGAUCUCUCACUUAAUGAUUGUAAACCUCUACACUACUUAAAGCAUACCAUAAAGACAUUUGGGCUACAAUUAUCAAAUAACUAUUUUUGUAGAAGUUAACUAAGUUUGCUCAUUAGCAAAAGUCAAAUGGUGAACACUAGCUGUUAACCUUUAUGAUAUUUGGUCUCUGGUUGAGAGUUGUCACAUUGGCAAUCAUAAAAAAUGUUCUUAUUUUUAUAACAGAAUACGCACAGACAUAUAUAUUUAUAUGUUAGUAUCAGCUUUGA
rnacentral:lncRNA from 1 species